UGGCACUUAAAAAUAUGCCCAUUGAAACUGGGGCAGGUUCAAAUUAAAGUGUUGCCAGUAAGCAUAAAGGAGAGGAGUGAGUGCAGAUGGGAAAUCAGAAAAUAUAUUCAAAAGCAUUUUAAUUUUAAACAUAUGCACUUGAUUGUUUACUAUAGAUAUUCUCUGAGUUUGAAAAAGCAUAAAGGCUCAGCCAAGAUACUGCAAAAAUACCAAGCAAAAAGGCCAGAGUUAAUGAACACCUGAAUCUGCGAAUAUGAUUUGAAUAGGAAAGAAUGGGCAGAUACAAGACAUAUUGUGAGGGGAAUCUGAGGUUUGAGUAAAAGAUUUCUUGCCAUCCUAAAGGAA
rnacentral:lncRNA from 1 species